UGGGGUGCAGCUCAGUGGUAGAGCACACACUUAACAUGUGAGGCCCUGGGUUCAAUUCCCAACAUCAAAA
rnacentral:tRNA from 1 species